rnacentral:rRNA from 1 species
AUGCAACCAAUGAUUGAUAAGGGUGCUGCAAGGCUGAAAAUUUGGAAAGGCAGGCUCAUGAACAGAACUGGAAGGCUGCAGCUAAUUAACUCAACGCUCACAGCAACUGCCAUCUUCUUGCUCACCUCCUUUGCGCCUCAUAAAUGGGCCGUAAAGAAGUUUGACAGGCUGAGAAGAAAUUUUCUUUGGAACGUGGAGGAGGAAACACAUGGUGGGAAAUGUCUUGUGAACUGGCAGCGUAUUUGUGCCCCAAAGGAUGUUGGAGGCUUGGGCAUAAAAGACAUUCAUGCAUAUAGCAGAGCCCUCAGACUGAGAUGGGCGUGGUAUGAGUGGGACUCUAGUCCAAGGCCAUGGAAGGGCACGACCAUCCCAUGUGACACCAUUGAUCGGCAGCUAUUCCAAGCCUGUACCCGGAUCUCAGUUGGCGAUGGGAAACAAGCUCUAUUUUGGUCUGAUCGCUGGUUGCAUGGCAUGGCUCCUAAGGAUUGCUACCCACUUCUGUUCUCCCUCUCCAGAGCCAAGACCACGACUGUGGCCGAUGCUAUAACUACUGGAAGUUGGAUGAGAGGGCUGCGACAAAUGAACUCUGCUGAGCUGAUGGACUCGUUUGUAGACUUGUGGACGCGUAUCCAGUCCAUCCAGCUAACCACAGAGCCGGACACGAUUACUUGGACGCCCAAUGCAAAUGGUGUUUACUCUGCAAAGUCUGCCUACAACGUCCAAUUCCAUACCCGGAUCCCAAUGCCACACCUUGCGGCUGCUUGGGCUGUCCGAGCUGAGGCCAAGAUCAAAUUCUUUGUCUGGACGCUGCUCCAGAAUAGACUAUGGACAGCCGAUCGACUGCUUGUAAGAGGCUGGAAUCAUCAAGACUCUUGUUCUACCUGCGACCAAGUGAUCGAGUCGACCCAUCACUUGAUCCUUCUCUGCCCAUAUGCCAAGCAAGUCUGGGCCAAAUUCCAAAGCGUGAGGCCAUUGGCAUGCUGCGCGGCAUUGCACUCGCCCUCGGUUGUCACCUGGUGGGAGGCGAUUUUUCCUCUUCGGAAAAAAAGGAGAAGGCACUGA